rnacentral:rRNA from 1 species
GACGAACGCUGGCGGCGUGCUUAACACAUGCAAGUCGAACGGGAAGGCCCUGCUUUUUUGUGGUGCUCGGGUGGCGAACGGAUGAGUAACUAGUACGUGACCUACCCUCGACUUUGGUCUAACUUCCGGCAACUAAGGCUAGUACCGGCUAGGAGCUCCUGCUUCAUGGCAGGGGUUGGUAUGGUUCGGCGGUUGGGGAUGGAGUCGCGGGGUAUCAGGUUGUUGGUGGGGUAGUGGCUUACCUAGGCUUUGACGGGUAGCCGGCCUGAGAGGGUGAACGGACAGAUUGGGACUGAGAUACGGCCAAGAGUCGUACGGGAGGCAGCAGUGGGGAAUAUUGCACAAUGGGCGGAAGCGUGAUGCAGCAACGCCGUGUGCUGGAUGACGGCUUUCGGGUUGGAAAACGGUUCCGCUCGUGAUGAUGGGGGAGUGAGGGGAAUGGGUAAAGAAGCACCGGCUAACUACGUG